GAAGCACAGGGAUACUCGAUGUCAGUCCGUAAUAUGCAAUGUUUUUAAUCUUGAGUACGUCUUCUGCAGCACAGCACAAGUAGUACAUUAAGCUCAUAACAUAUAUGUAGCAAGUAGCAUCAUCGUGUUUAGAUCAUAAUAUCUUUUCGUAAAAUUAAGUAUUGUUAUAUCAUUUGGCUGCAACUGAAGUCUUCAUAUGUGUUAACAAUUGCCCGUCCCUAUUAUCUUAUCUUUUACAAAGGUCGUGCAAUGUGCUCAGUCUUCCCUACUUAUCAUCGGCAGAAUCUGAAAUCGUGUUUUUGGUGAGUGGAUUUUCAUUACAACUGUGGAAGCCCUUGCUGAUAUGUGACAACGAGCUAGAAAAUCCUCCCUGCAACUCUCGGGACAAUUCAAUUAAGUAGACACUUGACAAUUCCGCCAAACACGACCUUCUCUGUCAACAGUCCAAUAAUGUGGGAUCAUGCUUCAUUCCUUAUGUCCUCGUAUAUAUUCAAGGUGAAGGUGUACGUUUACUUUUACUGAUUGGCACCUUAAAUAAUAUAUAACUCAAUUAUUGAUGUCACAUUCAGAGUUUUUUUCAAGAUGAAUCGAUUAAAUUAUGAUUCAUGCGAAACCCAAAAACAUGAGCAUAAUCUACCAUAAUCAAUGGAGUGUUAUUAUAAGC